rnacentral:other from 1 species
UAAAUGCUGUGGUAUACGAGCCCACAUCAAUGUGUUGACCGACUAAAUCUUUGUAUUUUUGGGAAACAUAGGUCUUUCUGACAGUAUGCAAGCCGUUUCACGCGGAAGCAGCUAAGUGAGAAGCGCGUUGCCCACCUGCGUUAAUAUGCGGGUUCAAUACAAAACGCGGGCUACCGGUACCAAUACAGCUUUUUU